GAGGCGGUCAGCAGCAUAAGAGGAUAGCUUAACCUCCAGAUUACGUUCAUUACCUGAUAUUAAUAGCACUGGCUUGAUUAAAGAAAAAGAGGGGGGGUUGGGGGUGAGGUGACACCUCCCCUCACCGCCCCCAGCACAGGCAAUAAACACCAGCCGCGGUGUCUCUGCUCCUGAGACUGGGGGUGCUCGGCUGUCCUGGACGUGGGGGCUCAGCAGGGAGGGCACCUGGAAAGUGACAUCCACAUCCAUGGGCACUGGUGAUUUUUAAGAGCAAAUCCCUUGUCUAAUGGCAGACAUAAAAUUGGGAGAAAGAGGAAGGCAGGCACGAAGGCCAGGAUCCCCUUUCCCUUCUGGUGAUGGCAGCUGCUGGGUGGGUUUCCCCUGGAAUUUAAGGAUGGAAGCUGGACUGCAUGUGGAUUUUCCUGGCUUGGUCACAAGUACUGUCAGUGGAUUGGUGUAAGAGCUGCAGACACACGAAGCCCAUGGUGGAAGGAUGCCUGUUCCCAGGAGAGAGUCCUGCUCCCAGAUCCCACCCUGUGAGCAGCACCCACAGGAGUGUGGAGGUCAAACCUGCUUCCUCCAUUGCUGAGCUGAGCUUUGUUGGGCUGGAUCUGUGUAUGUUGGCCCUUGGCUGGGCCUUUCCUGUCCAAGAAACCAUCCCAAGGGAGGGAUGGAGGAACCUGCCCAUGCAAUGAAGAAACCCACCCGAGGCAUGGAGGAACAGAGCCAAGGAAUGGAGGAACACGUCCAAGGGAUCAAGGAACCUGCCCAUGGGAUGGAUGAACCUGCCUGAGGGAUGAAGGAACCCGCACAAGGGGUGGAGAGACCUGGCUGCAACCCCAAUGCCACGUCAUGCCCAUGCCCAUCCUGGAACCCAUGGAACAUCCCUCCCGGUUUACCCAGCCUUGCACCAAGCUCUGUCCUGGCCGGAGCCGCCUGGAGCCGGAUGGUUCAUCCCAGCAGCUCCGUGCACAGGUGCUCCCUUCCAGCUCUAUUAUGGUCUCUGCUCCCUCACCACAAAAAGGACAAAUAUUUCCCUCUGCAAACCCAAUUAUCUGUUGCUAUUUAUAGCGAGUGGAAGCCACAGUGGAAGGGGCUCUGUUACACAACCCAGUUACUCAUCCCUCGCUCGGCCAGCACAACUCAGGGAGACUCCUUCCUCUCAUCCUCAUCCUCAUCCUCCCACUGACUCACAGGCAGCUGCCAGCAAUGGAUUUAGCUGCUGGCACAUGCAGGAUGGGAACAUGAGGGAUGGGAACAGGCAGGAUGCUUUGGCACUGACGCCGGGGUUGGUCGGUCGGUGCUGUGGGGUGUUGGUACCCUGCAAACAGGGAUGCAGGGAUGCUCCAUCCCUAUAAGCUUUGCCACAUCCCCAGCGCACCAGUGACGAUCCAAAUGCAAUUCCCAGAUAUUUGAUGUUUGGGAGCAGUCAGCCCCUUGAGGGUUGUGCUGGAAAAGGGGGUGGAAAAUAGAGGGGAAACGUGACUGUGUGGGGGGGGGUGGGGGGGAGUUACCCUGUAUGGGGUUUUUGGGUGGAAAAGUUUAGGUUGUCCCACUCUUCAUCUUGGUGGAGUGGAUGCAUGUACCAGCAAGCUUGGAAAAUGGGAGGCUGUGGUUUAUCUGCUGGGAAAUUAAGGG